GAAUAAUUAAGAGCGCAAGCCUGCAGUCUUCGUCAGUAUUUGAUGAAAGUAUUGGAUAUCUCGCGCAUAUCCGUCGUCACAGUUUCCCAUUUCUAAAGAAAGCGUGCUCGCGAUACUGUACCGCUCUUUUGCCUUGCUAGCCACCCUAUUUUUAUGAGAUGGAUACUGUGGGGAUCCACAUUUCCCGUCAUGCUGCUGCAGAGUAAUCAACUGAGGAAAUGAUGGCGACAAUGAUGUCUCAUCGAUGAAAUUACGGCGUAACAAACCGUUUACAUAGUUGGUAAAAUAAGGGCUGACGAAGUAACUGAAUAAAUGCGGGUAAUGCUGAUAGAUGCGUAAAUGCAGUGGAUAGAAAAAAACACUUGAUGUAACAAGGGGAUAAAUAAAGGUUGAAUCAUUCAAAAACA